CGGAGGGCGCGAGCGUUGUCCGGAAUCACUGGGCGUAAAGGGCGCGUAGGCGGCUCGAUAAGGCUUGCGUGAAAGUCCGGGGCUCAACCCCGGAUCGGCGCGGGCGACUGUUGGGCUGGAGCACGGUAGGGGCAGACGGAAUUCCGGGUGUAGCGGUGGAAUGCGUAGAGAUCCGGAAGAACACCGGUGGCGAAGGCGGUCUGCUGGGCCGGAAGGGGGCAGAGCAAUCUGUCCCCGUGCUGACGCUGAGGCGCGACAGCGUGGGGAGCAAACAGGAUUAGAUACCCUGGUAGUCCACGCCGUAAAACGAUGGGCACUAGGUGCCCGGGGGAGCGACCCUCCGGGUGCCGGCGCUAACGCAUUAAGUGCCCCGCCUGGGGAGUACGGCCGCAAGGCUGA
rnacentral:rRNA from 1 species